rnacentral:misc_RNA from 1 species
UUUCCGUAGGUGAACCUGCGGAAGGAUCAUUAUUGUAUAACCGAGGUGCGAGGGCUGUCGCUGACCCGAAAGGUCGUGCACGCCCGAGUGCCCUCACACACAUCCAUCUCACCCCUAAGUGCACCACCGCGUGGGUCCCCCUUUGGCUUGUUCGGAGGGGGGCUUACGUUUUCACACAAACUUUGUAUGCAGUGUAGAAUGUAUUUUUUGUUUUUGCGAUCACGCAAUCAAUACAACUUUCAACAACGGAUCUCUUGGCUCUCGCAUCGAUGAAGAAGCAGC